rnacentral:lncRNA from 1 species
AAACCCAUGAAAAGAGGAUCCUGAAAGAGCAAGGGUGGCCUCCAGGUGAAGGUGGUGGGCGGCCUCCAGGUGAAGGUGGUCAGCACCCUCCCUUUGGCCAAGAGGAGACUGCAGUUUCAACUCAAAGAUCAUUCCUGAAUGAUGCAACAAGCUUAAACUUCCUUAAAAACAAACUUCUGGGUAGAGGAAAACGAGGCAAGAUGCUGAGAAAAAGUCAUCUCCCACUCUGCCCUUCUCUGGCAAAUCAGUGUCCUCUUGUGGGAGGCGGUGGGCAGCGACACUCCUGUUGGACGUCAGUGCUCUCGGGAUGGGCCCGGCCACCCCGGAGCAGAACUCACUUAGGGCCUGGUGCCCCUGUGCCCAGUUCUCAGAACUCCGGAGUGCCCCAUUCAUAACCUGCUACCCCGUUUGUAACCUGCAGCUCCCCUCCUUCCUCUCCUCCCGGUCUUCAGGUGCUUUUACCAAAGCACCCCCAGCUCCCCUCCCCACUCUCAAACCCUCCUCCUCCUCCCUCCCCUCUCUCAGUUCCCUGUUUGCAGGAUCUCCUCCUGCCCAUGCUCCAGCCCGGGUCCCCCCACUCUCAUCUCCAAUUCUGCUUCACGGGCCGUGACAGCAGGCAGGCCAUGGACUGCUCUCAGCAGUUUGAUCAAUGGACUAAGGAGAGCACUCCUACGAGAGUGAAAAAGUCAAAUGUGCCUGAGAUUCAAAUGGGGAGCUCUCAAAGCUAUG